rnacentral:rRNA from 1 species
UACGUAGGCAGCGAGCGUUGUUCGGAGUUACUGGGCGUAAAGAGUGCGUAGGCGGUUUUCUAAGUUUGGUGUGAAAUCUCCCGGCUUAACUGGGAGGGUGCGCCGAAGACUGGAAGGCUUGAGUAUGGGAGAGGUAAGCGGAAUUCCUGGUGUAGCGGUGAAAUGCGUAGAUAUCAGGAAGAACACCAAUGGCGAAGGCAGCUCUCUGGGACGGUACUGACGCUGAGACGCGAAAGCGUGGGGAGCGAACAGG